rnacentral:rRNA from 1 species
UACAGAGGGGGCAAGCGUUGUUCGGAAUUACUGGGCGUAAAGGGCGCGUAGGCGGCCCGCUAAGUCGAACGUGAAAUCCCCGGGCUCAACCCGGGAACUGCGUCCGAUACUGGCGGGCUUGAAUCCGGGAGAGGGAUGCGAAAUUCCAGGUGUAGCGGUGAAAUGCGUAGAUAUCGUAAGGAAGACCAGUGGCGAAGGCGGGUCUCUGGACAGUUCCUGACGCUGAGGCACGAAGGUCAGGGGAGCAAACGGG